rnacentral:rRNA from 1 species
GAUCCUGGCUCAGAUUGAACGCUGGCGGCAGGCCUAACACAUGCAAGUCGAACGGUAACAGAAAGAAGCUUGCUUCUUUGCUGACGAGUGGCGGACGGGUGAGUAAUGUCUGGGAAACUGCCUGAUGGAGGGGGGAUAACUACUGGAAACGGUAGCUAAUACCGCAUAACGUCGCAAGACCAAAGAGGGGGACCUCCGGGCCUCUUGCCAUCGGAUGUGCCCCAGAUGGGAUUAGCUUGUUGGUGGGG